rfam:Gossypium raimondii chromosome 1, whole genome shotgun sequence.
AUUCUGUGAUGUGGGCAUUUUGUUAGCAAUAACUUAAAAGGUUCCAAUGCUUCGUAUAAGGUUUCGCCUUCAAAUUGCUUGAAGUUGGCAAUGUCGCACCUAUAUU